rnacentral:rRNA from 1 species
GAUGAACGCUGGCGGCGUGCUUAACACAUGCAAGUCGAACGAGCCUUCGGGCUAGUGGCGGACGGGUGAGUAACGCGUGGGAAUCUGCCCUCAGGAGGGGGAUAACGGCCGGAAACGGCCGCUAAUACCCCAUAUGCCGAGAGGUGAAACGAAUUUCGCCUGAGGAUGAGCCCGCGUCUGAUUAGCUAGUUGGUGAGGUAAUGGCUCACCAAGGCAUCGAUCAGUAGCUGGUCUGAGAGGAUGAUCAGCCACACUGGGACUGAGACACGGCCCAGACUCCUACGGGAGGCAGCAGUGGGGAAUUUUCCGCAAUGGGCGCAAGCCUGACGGAGCAACGCCGCGUGAGGGACGAAGGCCUCUGGGCUGUAAACCUCUUUUCUCAAGGAAGAAGACAUGACGGUACUUGAGGAAUAAGCCACGGCUAAUUCCGUGCCAGCAGCCGCGGUAAUACGGGAGUGGCAAGCGUUAUCCGGAAUUAUUGGGCGUAAAGCGUCCGCAGGCGGCCUUGAAAGUCUGUUGUUAAAGCGUGGAGCUCAACUCCAUUUCAGCAAUGGAAACUACAAGGCUAGAGUGUGGUAGGGGCAGAGGGAAUUCCCGGUGUAGCGGUGAAAUGCGUAGAUAUCGGGAAGAACACCAGUGGCGAAGGCGCUCUGCUGGGCCAUAACUGACGCUCAUGGACGAAAGCCAGGGGAGCGAAAGGGAUUAGAUACCCCUGUAGUCCUGGCCGUAAACGAUGAACACUAGGUGUCGGGAGAAUUAACCCUUUCGGUGUCGUAGCCAACGCGUUAAGUGUUCCGCCUGGGGAGUACGCACGCAAGUGUGAAACUCAAAGGAAUUGACGGGGGCCCGCACAAGCGGUGGAGUAUGUGGUUUAAUUCGAUGCAACGCGAAGAACCUUACCAGGGUUUGACAUCCUGCGAAUCCCUUGGAAACUUGGGAGUGCCUUCGGGAACGCAGUGACAGGUGGUGCAUGGCUGUCGUCAGCUCGUGUCGUGAGAUGUUGGGUUAAGUCCCGCAACGAGCGCAACCCACGUCUUUAGUUGCCAGCAUUCAGUUGGGCACUCUAGAGAGACCGCCGGUGAUAAACCGGAGGAAGGUGUGGAUGACGUCAAGUCAUCAUGCCCCUUACAUCCUGGGCUACACACGUACUACAAUGCUACGGACAAAGGGCAGCAAACUCGCGAGAGCUAGCAAAUCCCAUAAACCGUGGCUCAGUUCAGAUCGUAGGCUGCAACUCGCCUACGUGAAGGAGGAAUCGCUAGUAAUCGCAGGUCAGCAUACUGCGGUGAAUACGUUCCCGGGCCUUGUACACACCGCCCGUCACACCAUGGAAGUUGGCCAUGCCCGAAGUCGUUACUCCAACCCGUAAGGGAGGAGGACGCCGAAGGUGGGGCUGAUGACUGGGGUGAAGUCGUAACAAGGUAGCCGUACCGGAAGGUGCGGCUGGAU